GUCAAUAACCCACGACUAAAGUCGCAGGCUUGUAAAAGCUUUUAUUGACUAGCCUAAGUUCUUCGAGAACUGCGUUAUUUUUGUUAUCAUACCCGUGGGCGUUUGCUCUAACUCACGGCUCUAUG
rnacentral:sRNA from 12 species